rnacentral:misc_RNA from 1 species
GCAGCAUUAAGAGGGAUGAUGUUUUCAAGAGCUGUCUAGAGCUAUCUGCAUUAGCCAUGCAGGCUGAAGAUGAGGUUAAUCAGUCAGAUACGGUUUCUCAGUCGGAUAUUCAGGGAGUUGUUGAAGAUGUAAAGGAGACGUCUCAUAGGAGUCCUUCUGCAAUCAGUGCCGAAGAUAUACAUCCUGAGAAAUUGGGAAAUGAAAAUGGCACUCAUGAUUCUGACAGUGUAACCCUUCAGAAAAGUGACUUGGACGUAGAGCAUAAUGCUUCAGAUAGUGCAAGAGACCAUCCUUUUAUGAAUGAUGAACAGUCAAAGGAACAUGCUGAUUUAACAGUAGCAGCAGAGCAGGCACAAAGUGAACUGCAAGGAUUCGAUGAAAGCACCGAACGUGAUAAUGUGGAGCAGCAGACUGCAGCUUUGCUUAAAGGAGUAGAGAUAUCUCUUUGUAGGCACUUGCUUCAUGCUGGGAUGGGUUCCGCUGCUGCUAGAGAAGCCUUUGAGGCAAAUCGCGUUUCUGAGGAGGUAUUCAGAAACUCCGCAAAAUCCAUGAUAAACAAUCCAAAUUUAGCUGUCCGAAUUCAAGGAAAUUAUUUACAAUGGGACAAAGCUGCACCUAUCGUUCUCGGGAUGGCUGCAUACAAUAUGGA